AACGACUCUACGUUUGACCGCGAGAGAAGACUGAGCUUCAGCGCCCCUCACACCUCCAUCCCACGUUGCUCUCCUUCGACGCUUCCCUCCCUCCUGCUCUUCUUCGUGCCCGCUAAGACAGCUCUGCCGCCCUUUUUCGACUUUCUACGGGGAGGGCGAGACGUUUUCUCCCUUCGCUGCUCAUACGUCGACUGGGAGCCGCCCUACGCGGUGCCAGCUCCUGCUGCUCCUCCGUGUGCUCGCCCCGCCUUCUGCCCUCAGGCGUGCUGAGAAGGCGCGGCAGACGGACGAAAACAGGGACGAGGCCAAUGUCAGUGGAGACGCAGGAUGUGGAGGUCGAGGUCGACCUGUCGAAGCUCAUUGACGUCGGCCUCACCUUUCUCCCUCUGCAGCUCACUAUCAAGGACAUCCUUCAGCGGCUUGUACGGCUGGAGAAGGAGAACGCCAUUCAGAACGAUCACAUCGCUCAGCUGACGGCGAACGUGGCGGAGCUGGAGGCGGCAGCCGCCGCUCAGUCCCCCGCGACUGACCGCAAAGGCGACAAGGAGGACAAGGACGCCGAGGCAGAGCACGCGGCCCUAUGGGAGGAGAUGUCGCGGCUGAACGAGCUACUAGGCGAGCUGCAGGACGACGCCGAGCGGGGUCGGCACACCAUCGACGAGAUCUACGCGGCUCGCAAGCACCAGAGCAGCGCUGCCGCCGCAAUGACCGGCGCCUCGUCCCACGCGUCGCUGAGCACGGUCAGCAAGUCAGCCGCCACUCCUCUCGCUCACUCGCCCGCCAGUGGUGCCGGCACCUCUGGAAUCGUGGUCCCUGCACACGGCGCAAGCGCCGGCAGCGCCGCCCCCUCCCAGAGGCAGCAGGACCUCGUCGAGGCUUCGGGGUCGUCGGUGCCGGUGGGCGACAUCAUCCUGAGCAAGGCACACGAGGCACUCGAGCUGGUAUUGGAGGCGCCGUAUGCUGCCUUCUGUGACUCCGGCGAUGCUCGCCAGCGCGCAGAGGCCGGUCUUCGCGGCAGCGAAACCGGCACUCGGGCCACGCAGAGCUCGUCGCCCACGUCCGCCGGCGGCAGGGCGCGCCCUCGUCGUGCCGUGUCCGUUGUGGACGGCCCCCACGGACCGCACGCUCGCUCGUCUGUCUCCUUCCCACAGCUCCGGGACUCCCCUGUGCUGCAGGACGCCCACACCCCUGCGUCACCGCCCCAGAAAACGUGGGGCUCGUCUGUCGAGUGGACGGCGGCGACUGGCGGCGAGGAUGCCGGCGAGCACCGUGAGGCAACCACGCCUAUCAUCGAGCCCGUGCCAUCUGUUCAGCCGCAGCUACGCCGACCAAGCACGUAUGCCGAGAAGCGCAUGACAGCCGGUGCGGCGCGGCGCACCUCCGCUCGCGCUGCGGCUGGCGCUGGGGGUGCCUCCGAAACAGGCUCGCCGGCGACACCGCCGUCUGUCUUUGACAAGCUCCGCCGCGACGGGGAGGAUAUCGCCUACCUGAACCGCGUCGUGGCGGAGAUUUUGGGGGAGAUGAAGGGGUUGCACGACGACGUUGACUUACUGCGUACAAACCGCCAGGAAUCGGACGACGCGACUAGCCGGUCUGGUGCGGUAGUGGACAGCGACGGGCUCGAUGGCUUGCUUCGGCGAUUGGCCCGCGUUGAGGGCGACAUCAUGGACGUUCGCCAGCACACGCGACACCGCGACAACCAGCUUCAGGAAGAGCUGGGCGACCUGAAGAGGCAGCUACGCGUGGCGCGUUGUCUUACGGAUGACGACGUGGACGCGCUGCACAGUGUAGCCGAUCUCACGGAGCGCGUGCUCCAGCUCGAGCAGCGCGUGCGUGCGCUGGAGAGCGGCCAGGGCAUGCUGCAGGAGCAGUUUGCGAACGUGCUUGCGGUGGGCGACGGCACCGGCGGCGAUGGCUCCUCGGAGGUGAAUGCUAUUCAGUUCGCCGCCCUUCAGGGCGCCGUGAAGGGGCUGGAGAAGCAGCUCGCUGCCCUCCUGGCGGCGCAGGAGGGUCAGCGGGAUUGGACGGAUGACAUUCGAAAGCUGAACGAGGGCGUGCGGUCGGUGGAGGCUGAGGUGGAAUCGGCUCAGGGUCAGCUGCAGCGCCUGCAGAAGGAGGCAUACCGACUGGACGAGGUAAAAGCGAACCGCACCGAGCUGCCGGACGACUCCCUUCUCGAGAAGGCACAGCACUGCAGCAGCAUCGGCGCCGGCGAUGGGGCGGCAAUGUCCGAUCUGGCCUCGCGCAUCUCGCGUGCCGAGGCGAAUAUCGAACACAUCAGCGAGGGCAAGGCUGACCGCAGCGCCCUCCACAAGCUGCGUGACGAGCUCAACGCCUUGCGACAGCUCGUGGAGCUGCUGAACGCGCAACACCGUGACCUCGUCGACACCGAGGGAGGUAGGCCGAGCGCGGCGAUGGAGAGCAUGCUCCGCGAGCUGCAGGGCGAGCUGAGCGCUCUGAAGGAGGCGCACAACACGCGCUUCGCCGGUGGCGGACUGAGUGGCGAGGAUGCCAAGGAUCUGAUGGACAGCAUCGAGCGACUAGACCACUGCAAGGCCGACGCCACCCUCGUGGCGAAUAAAGCCGAGCGCGACUACGUUGAGAACGCGCUGGAGCGACUGAUGCGCGAGGUGGAGCAGGUGCUGAACGCGACGAAUGCAGGCCUCAUAGACACCCUAGAAAAGUCGCUCGGCAUUCUGCGCGACAUGAUUGACGGCAAGGCAACAAAGCAGGACGUGGCGAACCUGCAAGGAUGGAUGUCGGAGGCGAACAUCGGCGGCGGCGCUGGCGCGCCAGAUGGGCUGACUGGCUUCAAGGGCUUCCGCUGCCUUGGCUGCAACAGGCCAAUGGACAACAUGCGACCUCGAACGCUACCGGCAACCAUGACCCCCUUCUUGAACCGUAAUCCGCAGAACCACCCGCAGGACAGCGUCACCCGUACAAUCCAGCAACAGCAUGCACCGCCCCGCUCUGGGGGCGGUGGUGGAGGUCAGGCGCCCGUCGCUGGUGUUACCGCCUCCUCCUUGCGCUCAGCCGGCAGCCCGGAAGGGUCGCUCCACCGUAGCACCAAUAGCGAGCCGCUGCCUCCGAUAGAACCCAUGUAAACUAGGAACGUAAAGCACGCCCCGUAGCCUGCGAGGUCGUGGCCAUGUACAGUGAUGCGUGUAUAUCUCGGCUCGCGCUGCCGUGGAUCGCCGCCGCCGCCGCACUCUCUUUCUCCGCCUCAACGAUCGCUUUUGCAUGUUUCGCCUCAGCGCCUCUGCGUGCGCUGUGUGGCGCACUCGCGCCUUCCCGAGUGUCCUCCGCGGGCGAGAGCGCGCGCCCUCUCUCAGUGUUCGUUUUAUAUACAUAUAUAUAUAUCUCGUUUAGCUUCUGCGCUUUCUUUGCUGUGGCAUUCCACAGGUGAUGUAACAACUUCCGUCUGCGCUCUUCGCACUCUCGCGCUGCGUGGGCGUGGGACGGUGCUUUUCCAUCUUUCUCUACGCGGCCACUUCGCCCUGGACACCGUUGACCGUCUCUGGUCCUUCACCCCACCCUCCGGUCGAUGGGCAUCGCCGACGCGCCUCCCUCUGUAUUUCUCGCACCCACUCCCUGCCCCUUUGAUUUUGUGCAAUUCAACGCGCGGGAGGUGCAGCAAAUUGGGGAUUCUCGCGCUCUUGCUCCGGCUUCGAUCCCCUGAUGGCGCAGUGUGUCUGUGUGCAUGUUUGUGUGGAAGGGGGGACGGGGCGCACCUCGGUGCGUGGCAUCCAGGGCCCACUCCCCACGCUGUGCGAGAGCAGGCCAGGCAGCCCCCGCGGCCCUUUUCGCCCCUGCCAAUGCCGAGCCGCCGCUUCUGGUGGUGGCAGGGUGAGGCGCCUACAGCGUAGGGUGCGGUGAGAGCGACUCACCGCUGCCGAUGUCGGCGGUGAGGUCCUGGAUGGCGCCGCGUCGGAGCGGCCUGUCAGGGUGGGCACGCUUGUGCCAUCCAUGUGGCGGGCAGAGUGCCGGCGUGACGGGAACGCAUCUCACCGGGCCCCCCACACGGCCCACUGGUGGUGGGGCGCCUGGGCCACCCCGACGAGGAUGCACCACGUGGCGACCGCCACAAUGGGGUGGCGGGGUGGGGGGAGCGGCUGUGAGGAGACGUGCGAGGCGUGUGGUGCGUAGAAGGUGACGCAGGGGCCGUGCUCAGGUGACCGAGUCGGCGCGCUGCUGGAGCACGUGCCCCCCCUCCCUCGCUGCUUCGCACCACGCGAUGGGGGCCUGUGACGGUGCGGGGGGAGGGGGAGGGAGGCCGAGUAGAGUCUGAGCGCGCGCUGCAUGACCGAGAAUGGGCAUGCUGAGCUAAGCAGGUGACUUCGAUAGUGGGGAGGCGUGUAUGUGGCACUGAUGGCAGCAACGAUGGCGAUGACGAAGGCGUGCGCACACGCACGCGUUUCUCCGGUAUUUUGCCUCCCCACGUUUUGCAUGGAAUACGACGACACUCAUCUCGAGUAGGCUUGUGAAAAAAGAAACGAAGGUGGCAAGUCAUGCAUUCUUUGUGGAAGACUCGUUCGUGUGUGUGUGUAAUGGAGUGAACGCGAGAAGGGACACGUUGCGCACAAGCCCCCCACCCCCCACCGUCGUCCUAAUGCCCCGGUGGUGUUAUGUGGCGAGUCUCGCACGUCACGCGCAGUCGGGGCGUCGACGUUCACCCGUUCGUGCUUCUUACCGAAGAAAUGUGGCAGAAAACCUUCACGCAGUAUUCGUCACCUGCUGGUGCGUCUGGUUUGUGGCCUCGACACACACAUCCCCACUGCGGCGACUCUGCGUUGCCGUUGCGCGAUAUCAUGUGCGAUGUGUGUCUUCUUUCCUCACCGCCCUCACGAUCUUUGGCGUGCCGUGUCUCCGCCCAUCUCUUCCUUGUGUUGCGCGCCCUCCCUCCCUCCCUCCCGCACCCGCCGCUCUGUCUGUCUGUCUCACGCUCCGGUGUGUGUGGUGCCUGGGACACCGUUGUAUGUGUGCAUGUGCACGCGCAUCUGCUUAG
rnacentral:misc_RNA from 1 species